UACGGGGGGGGCAAGCGUUGUUCGGAAUUACUGGGCGUAAAGGGCGCGUAGGCGGUUCGCUAAGUUGAAUGUGAAAACUCUGGGCUUAACCCAGAGCCUGCAUCCAAAACUGGCGAACUGGAGUACUGGAGGGGAAAGCGGAAUUCCUGGUGUAGCGGUGAAAUGCGUAGAUAUCAGGAGGAACACCGGUGGCGAAGGCGGCUUUCUGGACAGUAACUGACGCUGAGGCGCGAAAGCGUGGGGAGCGAACAGG
rnacentral:rRNA from 1 species